GAUGAACGCUGGCGGCGUGCCUAAUACAUGCAAGUCGAGCGAACGGACGAGAAGCUUGCUUCUCUGAUGUUAGCGGCGGACGGGUGAGUAACACGUGGAUAACCUACCUAUAAGACUGGGAUAACUUCGGGAAACCGGAGCUAAUACCGGAUGAUAUUUUGAACCGCAUGGUUCAAAAGUUAAAGACGGUCUUGCUGUCACUUAUAGAUGGAUCCGCGCUGCAUUAGCUAGUUGGUAAGGUAACGGCUUACCAAGGCAACGAUGCAUAGCCGACCUGAGAGGGUGAUCGGCCACACUGGAACUGAGACACGGUCCAGACUCCUACGGGAGGCAGCAGUAGGGAAUCUUCCGCAAUGGGCGAAAGCCUGACGGAGCAACGCCGCGUGAGUGAUGAAGGUCUUCGGAUCGUAAAACUCUGUUAUUAGGGAAGACCAUAUGUGUAAGUAACUGUGCACAUCUUGACGGUACCUAAUCAGAAAGCCACGGCUAACUACGUG
rnacentral:rRNA from 1 species